UUUCCGUAGGUGAACCUGCGGAAGGAUCAUUCGUAAUAAAGUGUUUUAUGGCACUUUUUAAAAAUCCAUAUCCACCUUGUGUGCAAUGUUAGAUCUCGUCAAUCUUGGCGAGAUUUUUAUACAUCAACUCAUUCUUUAACUAAUUUGUCUGAAAAAUAUUAUGAAUACUUAAUUCAAAAUACAACUUUCAACAACGGAUCUCUUGGCUCUC
rnacentral:misc_RNA from 1 species